AGACGCCUGAGAUUCUGACUCUGCCGAGGAAGUUCUUGUGGUGACCACUUUUUCUGUCAUUGUAAACAAACACAUCAAUGCUCUUGCCUGGAAGCUCUCUUGGGUUGUUGAUGUUGAAAACCAGCUUCUCAUUCCACUGAGGGUUGAGGUCUUUGGGCUUGGUUUGGGUCCUCUGUCUCUGCCCCUCAAAGUCUACUUCCACAAAAGGACUUGCAAACCCAUCACCAUCUUUGGGCAUGAGGUCACUUGCAUCAUGAACUUCAACAACCAGCUUGUUCAUGGCCGUUGAUAACUAAUUGGACCCUGAGAGCUGAGAGCUAAGAGGUGACAGAAGAAUUUUAUGGUCUAAAAUGAAAGGGAAAGUGAGAGUUGGGUUGUGAAUAGCAGUGAAGAAGAAGAAGACGACAGAAAUGGUGGUAGGAGAGAGAGGGGGGAGAGAGAGAGAGGUGGGGAGAAGAGUAGGCGGUGGUGGUGAUGAGAUAUUCAUUUUGGAGUAUGAAGACAGAAACAAAUGUUAGAAAGGAGGGUCGUUUGGUGGUGUGAGGUGGCCCCCUUGGAUCAUAUGGCCUUUGAUUGAUAAAGAUUCUAGUGGGUACAUAUAUUUGAGCUUUUAUGAGAAAAACAGGGAGGAGAGCUAUUAUAAUGCUGUCCUCAUCUCUUCAAUUAUAAGCCUAAUAAUGCU
rnacentral:lncRNA from 1 species